rnacentral:rRNA from 1 species
GAUGAACGCUGGCGGCGUGCCUAAUACAUGCAAGUCGAGCGAACAGACGAGGAGCUUGCUCCUCUGACGUUAGCGGCGGACGGGUGAGUAACACGUGAAUACCCUACCUAUAAGACUGGGAUAACGUCGGGAAACCGGAGAUAAUACCGUAUAAUAUCUUAAACCGCAUUGUUCAAUAGUGAAAGACGGUUUUGCUGUCACUUAUAGCUGCAUCCCGGUCGCAUUAGCUAGUUGCUAAGGUAACGGCUUACCAAGGCAACGAUCCGUAACAGACUUGAGAGGGGGAUCGGCCACACUGGAACUGAGACAGGGUCCAGCCUCCUACGGGGGGAACCAGUAGGGAAUCUUCGGCAAUGGGCGAAGGCCUGACGGAGCAACGCGGCGUGAGGGAUGAAGGUCUUCGGACCGUAAACCUCUGUUAUUAGGGAAGAACAAAUUUGUAAUUAACUGUGCACGCCGUGACGGUACCUAAUCAGAAAGCCACGGCUAACUACGUG